rnacentral:lncRNA from 1 species
CUGAAUAAGGUAAGUGCAAAAAAAAAUAUAAGAAAAAUGAUGAUAAAAAAAUAGAAAGAAAAAUAAAAUAAAAUAGAGAAUCUGAUGGCACAAAGAAAAACACUCACCAAAGGAAGAGACUCAGUUGGAUACAAACUCAAAGACAAAAAAGAAAAAGAACUGAGUAGUUGAGCUAGAAAAAAAAGAGAAAUGUCAAUGGUACUUUAGAAUAAACACAGUGAAAAGAAUAAUAGCAUCGACUUUAAACCCAAAAGCCG